AGUAAAAAAAUACCAGUGUGUUUGUGGUUCGUAUACAAACCGACGGUCGUAAAGUAGUACUGGACUGUAGCAUGGAUGUGGCAGUUAGCUUACGAGAGCCAGUUGCUCACUCUCUACAUUCACUAACCUCAAAUCACCUGCUUCUGUCAUAUUCUCCUGUUAGAUGACAAUACAAGUCUUUCAUAGCUGUGCACUGGAGAGAGGUAAGUUUGCUUGUUAUGAGCUGCUGCGGUGCUGGACCAACAUGGCUGCUAGGAGCUAAUUUUCAAAAGUAUAGACCGAUUUCUCGACUUGUUCUAUUCAAAUUCAUACAAUGAAGUGGAAGACAUAAGCAUAAUAAAUCUCUUGAGUGUGGGUAAAGCUUGCCUGUCAAACACACAUGCAUAAAAAAAUGAUUGUCGUAACUGCCAUGAGCAAAAACAUUUGAUUUUAGUACACAUAUACACAUGUAACGUACUGAUUCAUACGAGGAAGUUACACCAUAAGUUCCGGGAAGUUACAUGGUAAAUGUUGGGAAGUUACACUUUAAAACACCAAUUGUUACUCCCUUGUUUCUCCUUGUUUUGUUUUCUUCCGCUGUACCUACAUUUAUGUACCAAUAAGAACCAGAAAGUAUUUUAUAUGGAUUCAUACGAGGAAGUUACACCGUAAAAUGCGGGCUGUAUUAUAAAGUGAAAUACGACCAUAUAUCACCUGUGCUGAGGUCGUUAUAUUGGCUUCCUGUAAAUUUUAGAAUAGAUUUUAGGAUUUUAAUGUUCAUUUUAAGGCCCUACAUGUUCUGGCUGGCUCCACAAUAUCUCACUGACAUGCUAUCAAACAGUUAGACCCCUCAGGUCAUCUGGAAUAGGCCGUCUGGUUAUUCCCAGGGUCCCCCUUGAAAAUUGGUGAAGGUGCAUUUAGCUUUUAUGCUCCCAGCCGCUGGAACAUCCUGCCCGAUCAUGUUAGAUGUGCUCCAACACUAUCCUCUUUUAAAACUAAACUUAAAAAGUUCCUUUUUAGAUGCACGUUUAAACUUUCUGAAAGCCACUGCAUCUCUUUCUAGCCCUCUUUAUUUGCUUGACAUAUUUGCGAUCAUAUUCCUCAUACAUGUUUACAAUCUAUCUAUAAUUUUAUCAUCCUGAUUUUCCAAAUCGUCAAUUUGCUUUUUUUGGUCUGUCCAUCAUGGAAGAGGGAUCCCUCCUCUCUUGCUCCUCCUGAGAUUUCUUCCAUUUUUUCCCAUGUUAAAGGGUUUUUGGAGGAGUUUUCCCUUAUUUGAAUUGAGGGUUUAAGGACAGAGGGUGUUGUAUGCUGUACAGAUGGUAAAUCCCCUUCAGGAAACUUUGUGAUAUUUGGCAAUAUGAAUAAAAUUGACUUGACUUUCCACAAA